rnacentral:rRNA from 1 species
UACGAAGGGGGCUAGCGUUGUUCGGAAUUACUGGGCGUAAAGCGCGCGCAGGCGGUCCUUCAAGUCAGAGGUGAAAGCCCAGAGCUCAACUCUGGAACGGCCUUUGAGACUAGAGGACUUGGGUACGGGAGAGGUGAGUGGAAUUCCGAGUGUAGAGGUGAAAUUCGUAGAUAUUCGGAAGAACACCAGUGGCGAAGGCGGCUCACUGGCCCGUUACCGACGCUCAGGCGCGAAAGCGUGGGGAGCAAACAGG